UAAAAAUUUUUGUUUUUUCUAAAAAUUCUAGCGUUAACUUCAAAAUUUCUUGUUGUAUCAAUCUUGGUCGUAUUAGACACUUGGACACUUGGACAUUAAAAUGUAGCAUCCAAAUAAUUAUAACAAUUAACUUUGUUAUAUAUAUUAUAUUUCUGUUGAUUUGAACACAUCUCACAUCAUCACAAAUUUUAAAAAUAAGGAGGCACCAUUCUAUCCAUCCGUGCCAAAAGAAUAGGAAAACUAUACCUCAAUUUUAAACCAUAUAUAAACUUUCAUAUAAACUAAGUUAAGAAAGAGCAUUUCGAUUUAAGAUUCUUUCUCUAUAAAAUUUCUUUACACUGGAUAAAAAUUUCCACAUAUUAUUAAAAUGGAGUGAAGUUAAGGAUACGUGUUGUUUCAUCAUUUAUUAUAAUAUUAGAAAGAUUAACUAAAACGAAAACUAUUAGAACUAUUAUGCUUUUAACCUUAUCAAAAUCUUAUAUCCACUUCUUUUUAAACUUUUUUCAAGGAGGCACCAUCCAAUCCAUCCGUGGCAAAAAAAUGUGUUAGGAAAACUAUGUCUCAAUUUUAAACCAUAUAUAAACUUUCAUAUAAACUAAGUUAAGAAAGAGCAUUUCGAUUUAAGAUUCUUUCUCUAUAAAAUUUCUUUACACUGGAUAAAAAUUUCCACAUAUUAUUAAAAUGGAGUGAAGUUAAGGAUACGUGUUGUUUCAUCAUUUAUUAUAAUAUUAGAAAGACUAACUAAAACGAAAACUAUUAGAACUAAUAUGCUUUUAACCUUAUCACAAUCUUAUAUCCACUUCUUUUUAAACUUUUUUCAAGGAGGCACCAUCCAAUCCAUCCGUGGCAAAAAAAUAUGUUAGGAAAACUAUGUCUCAAUUUUAAACCAUAUAUAAACUUUCAUAUAAACUAAGUUAAGAAAGAGCAUUUCGAUUUAAGAUUCUUUCUCUAUAAAAUUUCUUUACACUGGAUAAAAAUUUCCACAUAUUAUUAAAAUGGAGUGAAGUUAAGGAUACGUGUUGUUUCAUCAUUUAUUAUAAUAUUAGAAAGACUAACUAAAACGAAAACUAUUAGAACUAUUAUGCUUUUAACCUUAUCAAAAUCUUAUAUCCACUUCUUUUUAAACUUUUUUCAAGGAGGCACCAUCCAAUCCAUCCGUGGCAAAAAAAUAUGUUAGGAAAACUAUGUCUCAAUUUUAAACCAUAUAUAAACUUUCAUAUAAACUAAGUUAAGAAAGAGAUUCUUUCUCUAUAAAAUUUCUUUACACUGGAUAAAAAUUUCCACAUAUUAUUAAAAUGGAGUGAAGUUAAGGAUACGUGUUGUUUCAUCAUUUAUUAUAAUAUUAGAAAGAUUAACUAAAACGAAAACUAUUAGAACUAUUAUGCUUUUAACCUUAUCAAAAUCUUAUAUCCACUUCUUUUUAAACUUUUUUCAAGGAGGCACCAUCCAAUCCAUCCGUGGCAAAAAAAUAUGUUAGGAAAACUAUGUCUCAAUUUUAAACCAUAUAUAAACUUUCAUAUAAACUAAGUUAAGAAAGAGAUUCUUUCUCUAUAAAAUUUCUUUACACUGGAUAAAAAUUUCCACAUAUUAUUAAAAUGGAGUGAAGUUAAGGAUACGUGUUGUUUCAUCAUUUAUUAUAAUAUUAGAAAGAUUAACUAAAACGAAAACUAUUAGAACUAUUAUGCUUUUAACCUUAUCAAAAUCUUAUAUCCACUUCUUUUUAAACUUUUUUCAAGGAGGCACCAUCCAAUCCAUCCGUGGCAAAAAAAUAUGUUAGGAAAACUAUGUCUCAAUUUUAAACCAUAUAUAAACUUUCAUAUAAACUAAGUUAAGAAAGAGAUUCUUUCUCUAUAAAAUUUCUUUACACUGGAUAAAAAUUUCCACAUAUUAAAAUGGAGUGAAGUUAAGGAUACGUGUUGUUUCAUUAUACACUACUAUAGAUAAUGAUUCCUUCGACUUCGUAAAUUUUUAUAAUACACAUUUCAUUUAUAAAAAUCUUACUAUAUAUCCUUACCUUAUGCAAGUUUCUUUGGUUAACAGUACUAUAUUAAUAUAUAAUAUUCAUUAUUUAAUAAAAUACCAGAUUUUUUUUGAAGAGAGUUUCUCUUUUGGUUAUCAACGGAUAUAAUGAAUGAUUGACUGGUGGAAGGAAGCACAUACAAUAUUUAAAAGCAAUUACAAUGAAAACAUAUAUAUACAUGUAUAUAUACAUAUAUGAAAAUUUAUAGUACAAAUCUAUAAUGAAAAAAUAACCCCAAAAGAAUUACUUUAAUUAAAACUCUCAAGUGGAUCAAAGUAAAUCUGUUGAAAUCAAUUAAGCAUAUCACUUAAGAUAUGUAUACCUGAUGAUUUUACAGGAUUUAUUUAAGCGAUCUUUUAUGGGAUCAUUACUUAAUUUGUGUUAAUUAACUAAUUAAUAUUAGUUUCAUUUGAUCAUGAUAAAAACUUUCUGAAAAAUAAAUUUA